rnacentral:misc_RNA from 1 species
GGUUGGAUCCCUGCUCGGGCAGCGACAUCCCCCGUGCAAGCCUCUUCAAUUUUCGGCCCAAGAGCAAGUUAGCCUUGGCCGUUUAUCGGUUUCCUGUGCUGUAUACCUACUAUAAUGGAAUUCGAACGUGCAAUAUUUUGUUAUUCGCCUUGUGCUGUCCCAUUGGUUGUCCCUUUGGGGURCGGUGUCGGGUGAACCUCGAAGCGAUCUUCAUGUUYUUCGUCACCCACGAAAUGUGUUGUCGGCGCGGCCCAUGAAGAUUGCUUGAGCUYUCGGAUGCGGAAUAUGCAGAGGGUAGUAGGCCUACAGCCUCUCUUUGCCCGAAUUAAGCGUUUAUUCGCUCAUUACCGAACGACGGCCGGCGGUGCUUUGAUGUGUUGGAGCCCUCAGGUUUUGGCAUCAUCAUGCAUCGCUGGCGUCAGUGAGGAAUGCUACCUGGUUGAUCCUGCCAGUAGUC